CGAAGACUGUCUACAGCUGGGGAUCGUACUGGGCACCUGUGCCACACUCUCCAGGUGCCUGGAGGCCUGAGCUGAGCUGCCGGCUCACCGUGAAGACGGAAGCCACGCAUGCUGGAAAGGGACGGUGCCCAGGACCAUCUCUGCAGAGACCUGGAGGGAACCCCAAAACCAUGUCCUUUCCACAACCUCAGAGCACGGCUUUACUUGGAAAUAGGGCCACUGCAGAUGCCACUAGGUAAGAUGCGGCCAGGCUGGGGCAGGCCGGCCCUUGGUCCAG
rnacentral:lncRNA from 1 species